rnacentral:rRNA from 1 species
UAGGGAAUCUUCCGCAAUGGACGAAAGUCUGACGGAGCAACGCCGCGUGAGUGAAGAAGGAUCUCGGAUCGUAAAACUCUGUUGUUAGGGAAGAAAAAAUGUAUAGUAACUAUAUACAAAAGAGACGGUACCUAACCAGAAAGCCACGGCUAACUACGUGCCAGCAGCCGCGGUAAUACGUAGGUGGCAAGCGUUGUCCGGAAUUAUUGGGCGUAAAGUGGGCGCAGGUGGUUUAGAAAGUCUAAUGUGAAAGACCACGGCUCAACCGUGGAGGGUCAUUGGAAACUAAUAAACUGGAGUGCAGGAGAGAAAAGUGGAAUUCCUGGUGUAGCGGGGAAAUGCGUAAAGAUUAGGAGGAACACCGGUGUCGAGAGCGGCUUUUUGGCCUGCAGCUUACACUGAAGCGCGAAAGCGUGGGGAGCAAACAGG